UUGGGAGAGCACUUGCGAUUCCCAUGAAAACUAACGCUUACACAGGAACCCCAUUCACCCAUCGGGAGCCCCCCGUUUACCCAGCUUUGCACACACCUUGGCGCCUUUGCUGCUGCUACAAAUUAUAGUGAAACGAGUGAACACACAGAACUAUUUCGGAGCAAUGUAAGCUGAGGCCGUGCUUAUGGCGAAUAAACGACUGAACGAUGAAAUUUUAAUUAAGUUUGGCAUCGAAAUGAUCAUCGGAAAGGAAAAGCAGACAGCGAUAAGGAGCCCACACCCUGGAGGUCAUCUUCUUCGAGCGUCUUCUAGGUGUAUUGCAUCACACACCACAAGCAGGCAGCAUUGGACAAUGGAUAAGACUAUAAAUGGAUAAAUGGAUAAAUGGAUAUGCGCAAUCCAAAGCCACGAAACUCUAAACGGGACACAAAUAUGUAUUAGUUUAAUGAAAUGUAUUCAAUUAUGUGCA